AGCAUAUCAAUAAGCGGAGGAAAAGAAACUAACAAGGAUUCCCCUAGUAACUGCGAGUGAAGCGGGAAAAGCUCAAAUUUAAAAUCUGGCGGUCUUUGGCCGUCCGAGUUGUAGUCUGGAGAAGUGCUUUCCGCGCUGGACCGUGUACAAGUCUCUUGGAACAGAGCGUCAUAGAGGGUGAGAAUCCCGUCUUUGACACGGACUACCAGUGCUUUGUGAUGCGCUCUCAAAGAGUCGAGUUGUUUGGGAAUGCAGCUCAAAAUGGGUGGUAAAUUCCAUCUAAAGCUAAAUAUUGGCGAGAGACCGAUAGCGAACAAGUACCGUGAGGGAAAGAUGAAAAGCACUUUGGAAAGAGAGUUAAACAGUACGUGAAAUUGCUGAAAGGGAAACGCUUGAAGUCAGUCGCGUUGGCCAGGACUCAGCCUUGCUUUAGCUUGGUGCAUUUUCUGGUUGACGGGCCAGCAUCGAUUUCGGUCGUCGGAUAAAGGUUGGGGGAAUGUGGCAUCUUCGGAUGUGUUAUAGCCCUCAGUCACAUACGACGGCUGGGAUCGAGGACCGCAGCACGCCUUUAUGGCCGGGGUUCGCCCACGUUCGUGCUUAGGAUGCUGGCAUAAUGGCUUUAAACGACCCGUCUUGAAACACGGACCAAGGAGUCUAACAUGCCUGCGAGUGUUUGGGUGGAAAACCCGAGCGCGUAAUGAAAGUGAAAGUUGAGAUCCCUGUCGCGGGGAGCAUCGACGCCCGGACCUGACCUUCUGUGAUGGAUCUGCGGUAGAGCAUGUAUGUUGGGACCCGAAAGAUGGUGAACUAUGCCUGAAUAGGGUGAAGCCAGAGGAAACUCUGGUGGAGGCUCGUAGCGAUUCUGACGUGCAAAUCGAUCGUCAAAUUUGGGUAUAGGGGCGAAAGACUAAUCGAACCAUCUAGUAGCUGGUUCCUGCC
rnacentral:rRNA from 1 species